rnacentral:misc_RNA from 1 species
GCAUAAGCUCCACACACUCUCGCCAACAUGCACAUGCACAUGCACAUAAACAUAAAAUUCAUAAAGCCACAUAUCUAGAUGCCUGUACUCAUAACUUGAAAACCUUGAUAUGUUAAUGAGCUAACAAGAAGGGGAGUUUAUAUAAUUAGAAGUGGAAAAAUCCUUGAAAAGAAAUGGUUCAUUUUAAACUCCCUCUUAAUCAGGUCUCUGCUGUAGGCCAU